CCGGGCGGAAAGUGGGUCAGGGCCGGGCCGGCGGAGCGCGCAGCGGGGGCUGCAGAUUCUUUCCACCAUGGCCAGACGCCCCCGGAACAGCAGGGCCUGGCACUUCGUCCUGAGUGCAGCCCGCCGAGACGCAGAUGCCCGGGCCGUGGCUCUAGCAGGCUCCACUAACUGGGGCUACGACUCUGAUGGGCAGCACAGCGACUCGGACUCCGACCCCGAGUACUCCACGCUGCCGCCAUCCAUCCCCAGUGCAGUGCCCGUGACCGGCGAGUCCUUCUGUGACUGUGCUGGGCAGAGCGAGGCCUCCUUCUGUAGCAGCCUGCACUCGGCCCACCGGGGCAAGGACUGCCGCUGUGGAGAGGAAGACGAGUGUGAGCGUGGGGCCCAGCCCCUGCUGGGACUGCACUGCGGGCGGGCCUGGGGGCGGGCAGGGCAGAGCCCCAUGGAGCUCUCAGGGCUGCCCCAGCCUGGGCCUCUCUUGCAGAUUUCGACUGGGUCUGGGAUGACUUGAAUAAGUCAUCAGCCACCCUGCUGAGCUGUGACAACCGUAAGGUCAGCUUCCACAUGGAGUACAGCUGCGGCACAGCGGCCAUCCGGGGCACCAAGGAGCUGGGGGAGGGCCAGCACUUCUGGGAGAUCAAGAUGACCUCUCCCGUCUACGGCACCGACAUGAUGGUGGGCAUCGGGACGUCGGAUGUGGACCUGGACAAAUACCGCCACACGUUCUGCAGCCUGCUGGGCAGGGAUGAGGACAGCUGGGGCCUCUCCUACACGGGUGCGUGAGGCCCAGGGUGGGGCGGGGCCGAGCCUGGAGCUCCCGGGCUCACUGCGACCCUGGCUGCCCCCAGGCCUCCUCCACCACAAGGGCGACAAGACCAGCUUCUCGUCGCGGUUCGGCCAGGGCUCCAUCAUUGGCGUGCACCUGGACACCUGGCAUGGCACGCUCACCUUUUUCAAGAACAGGAAGUGUAUAGGUGUGGCAGCCACCAAGCUGCAGAACAAGAGGUUCUACCCGAUGGUGUGCUCCACGGCGGCCCGGAGCAGCAUGAAGGUCACCCGCUCCUGCGCCAGCGCCACCUCCCUCCAGUACCUGUGCUGCCACCGCCUGCGCCAGCUGCGGCCAGACUCGGGAGACACGCUGGAGGGUCUGCCGCUGCCGCCGGGCCUCAAGCAGGUGCUACACAACAAGCUGGGCUGGGUCCUGAGCAUGAGCUGCAGCCGCCGCAAGGCUCCAGCGUCCGAUCCCCAGGCAGCGACCUCGGCCCACCCCAGCAGUCGCGAGCCUCGGCCCUGCCAGAGGAAGCGCUGCCGCCGGAUCUGACUGACUGCCCCAGUGGAACUGCCUUCUUGGGCUAGGACAGCCCCUUUCCUCCGUCCCUUCUUUCUCUGUCCCUUCCUUCCAGCCACACUCCAGGGCGGAGUUGGAUGAGGCCCGUCCGGAGGGAGCCAUCUCUUGCUCCCGAGGCUGGGACAGUCCUUUCUGGGGGGGCUCUAGGGCUCCUCUGCUGCUGUGCUGGGUGGGGAAGCGGCUGCCCUGAGCCCCAGGUCUUGUGGGAGGCUGCGAGGACGAGAGCCUGGCUGGAGCCCGCGUUGCCGUUCCCACAGGGCCUCGGUUUUUCCUAACUUGCUCUGCAUGCUGUCAGCGGCUGCCCUGCCGUCAUAGACUUAAAGGACUGCAAUAAACGUAGAGUUGAUGUCUAA
rnacentral:sRNA from 1 species